UAGAUCCUUGUCUUUCUCUGCUUACAUUGCAGAACAGAUCUUGUACUGGAUUUUCCUCACAUUGAAGUUGUGCGGAAAAAAGAAGAAAGAAGAAAAUUACCUGGCCACACUUGUAAAGAAUGUGAAAUAUAUUAUGCAGGUUUACCUGAAGAAGAGAGAGAGAAAAAACUAGCUACCUGUUCUAGACAUCGAUCUCGUUAUAUUCCUCCUGAAACACCAGAAAAUUUCUGGGAAGUUGGAUUUCCUUCCACACAAAUGUGUGUUGAAAGAGGUUAUAUAAAAGAAGAGUUUGCUCCCUGUCCACGUCCCAAAAGAAGGCAGCCUUAUAAUGUGAUGUUUUCUCCAAAAGGCAAAGAACAAAAGACAUAACAGGGAAACAAUUUUUAAAGCUAGCCAUUGUUUUUCAAUUCAUAUUUAUAUGAAUUUAUUUGAAAGGUAAAUAAUAAAGAGACCUGGGAAUUAUCUUCCCUUGUUCUAUUUGAAAAUGAUAGCCUCUGAAUGCAACUAUUUAAUGUAAAGAAUAUAUUUCUAGAUACAUUUUUGUGUCUUGAUGGAUUUUGCACCUUGUGUGUAUUUCUGAUCUUUUGGAGGUCUACAUUUAGCUCCCUGCAAUUAAGCUUGGUGUAAGUUAGUGUGAUUUCUUUGGACCAAGCAAAGUUGCAACUGCUUAUUUCAGGUCUAGAAUAGUUCCACGAACUUUAGAUGGAACCUUGUAGGGUGCUUCUAUUUUGCACUUGAUAAUUUAAAUAAAGUGUAACCAUUUGUUUUUUGUAAUAAUUUUUGAAAAAAAUAUA